UCUGGAUUUGGGUCGUCGAGGGAGUCUGUCUGCCUCUCUGAAGUAUGGCCGUGUGGUCUCCGUGGAGUCUGCUUCUCUGGGAAGCACUGCUUCCCAUGGUCAUCGCCAGUGCCCAAGUGCAGGGCCAGGUGGGCGGCUCGGCGCUGCUGGUGGCAGAUCACCCUCCCGGUUUCCAAGUCCGAGAGGCCAUCUGGAGAUCCCUCUGGCCUUCAGAGGAGCUCCUGGCCACGUUCUUCCGGGGCUCCCCAGAGACGCUAUACCGCUCCCGCUUCCUGGGCCGAGCCCAGCUGCACAGCAACCUCAGCCUGGAACUGCGGCCACUGGAGUCUGGAGACAGCGGCAACUUCUCCGUGCUGCUGGUGGACAAGCAAGGUCGGGCCCGGACCCAGACCCUGCAGCUCAAAGUGUACGAUGCAGUGCCCAGGCCCGUGGUCAAAGUGUUCAUCGCUGUAUCAGGGGAUGCUCAGCCCCCCAAGACCUGCCAAGUGUUCCUGUCCUGCUGGGCUCCCAACAUCAGCGACAUAACCUAUAGCUGGCGACGGGAGGGAACUGUGGACCUUGGUAUGGAGCCAGCUGGCCUCUUCACAGAUGGACAGGUGCUGAGUGUGUCCCUGGGACCGGGAGACAAAGGCGUGGCCUAUUCCUGCAUUGUCUCCAACCCCGUCAGCUGGGACCUGGCCACAGUCACCCCCUGGGAGAGCUGCCAUCGCCAGGCAGCUCCAGGGAGGGCCUCCUACAAAGACGUGCUGCUGGUGGUGGUGCCCGUCUUGCUGCUCCUGAUCCUGGCUGGUCUGUCUGCCUGGCACUGGGGCCCCUGGUCAGGGAAAAAGAAAAAGGAUGUCUGUGCUAAUGAAGUGGAUCAAGAGACAGAGAGCCCCCUCGUGGGUCUGCCAUGA
rnacentral:lncRNA from 1 species